rnacentral:rRNA from 1 species
CCCUUAGAUGUCCUGGGCCGCACGCGCGCUACACUGACAUGUUCAACAAGCCUCCUAGUUCGACAGGAUUUGGGAAAUCUUUGAACGCAUGUCGUGAUAGGGAUAGAUCAUUGCAAUUAUUGAUCUUGAACGAGGAAUUCCUAGUAAACGCGAGUCAUCAGCUCGCAUUGAUUACGUCCCUGCCCUUUGUACACACCGCCCGUCGCACCUACCGAUUGAAUGUUUCGGUGAAGAUUCCGGAUAGGACUUUUUUGAUUUACUUCAAUUUUGUCUUAAAAGCUAUCUAAACCUCAACAUUUAGAGGAAGGUGAAGUCGUAACA